rnacentral:rRNA from 1 species
AAACAGGAUUAGAUACCCUGGUAGUCCACGCCGUAAACGAUGAGUGCUAGGUGUUGGGUCCUUUCCGGGACUCAGUGCCGCAGCUAACGCAUUAAGCACUCCGCCUGGGGAGUACGACCGCAAGGUUGAAACUCAAAGGAAUUGACGGGGGCCCGCACAAGCGGUGGAGCAUGUGGUUUAAUUCGAAGCAACGCGAAGAACCUUACCAGGUCUUGACAUCCCGGUGCCCGUCCUAGAGAUAGGAUUUUGCUUCGGCACACCGGUGACAGGUGGUGCAUGGUUGUCGUCAGCUCGUGUCGUGAGAUGUUGGGUUAAGUCCCGCAACGAGCGCAACCCUUAUUGUUAGUUGCCAUCAUUCAGUUGGGCACUCUAGCGAGACUGCCGGUAAUAAACCGGAGGAAGGUGGGGAUGACGUCAAAUCAUCAUGCCCCUUAUGACCUGGGCUACACACGUGCUACAAUGGCUGGUACAACGAGUCGCAAGUCGGUGACGGCAAGCUAAUCUCUUAAAGCCAGUCUCAGUUCGGAUUGUAGGCUGCAACUCGCCUACAUGAAGUCGGAAUCGCUAGUAAUCGCGGAUCAGCACGCCGCGGUGAAUACGUUCCCGGGCCUUGUACACACCGCCCGUCACACCACGAGAGUUUGUAACACCCGAAGUCGGUGAGGUAACCUUUUAGGAGCCAGCCGCCUAAGGUGGGAUAGAUGAUUGGGGUGAAGUCGUAACAAGGUAGCCG